CAGAGGUGGCAAGCGUUGUUCGGAAUUACUGGGCGUAAAGGGCGCGUAGGCGGCCUUCUAAGUCAGUCGUGAAAUCCCCAGGCUUAACUUGGGAACUGCGUCUGAUACUGGAGGGCUCGAGUGCGGGAGAGGGAUGUGGAAUUCCAGGUGUAGCGGUGAAAUGCGUAGAUAUCUGGAGGAACACCGGUGGCGAGGGCGGCAUCCUGGACCGACACUGACGCUGAGGCGCGAAAGCUAGGGGAGCAAACGGGAUUAGAUACCCCGGUAGUCCUAGCCCUAAACGAUGAGUGCUUGGUGUGGCGGGUAUCGAUCCCUGCCGUGCCGAAGCUAACGCAUUAAGCACUCCGCCUGGGGAGUACGGUCGCAAGGCUG
rnacentral:rRNA from 1 species